rnacentral:rRNA from 1 species
CAUCCUGGGGCUGAAGUAGGUCCCAAGGGUAUGGCUGUUCGCCAUUUAAAGUGGUACGCGAGCUGGGUUUAGAACGUCGUGAGACAGUUCGGUCCCUAUCUGCCGUGGGCGCUGGAGAAUUGAGGGGGGCUGCUCCUAGUACGAGAGGACCGGAGUGGACGCAUCACUGGUGUUCGGGUUGUCAUGCCAAUGGCACUGCCCGGUAGCUAAAUGCGGAAGAGAUAAGUGCUGAAAGCAUCUAAGCACGAAACUUGCCCCGAGAUGAGUUCUCCCUGACUCCUUGAGAGUCCUGAAGGAACGUUGAAGACGACGACGUUGAUAGGCCGGGUGUGUAAGCGCAGCGAUGCGUUGAGCUAACCGGUACUAAUGAACCGUGAGGCUUAACCUU